UACAAUAGGUUGCGAAACCGCGAGGUGGAGCCAAUCCUCAAAGUCUGUCUCAGUUCAGAUUGUAGGCUGCAACUCGCCUGCAUGAAGUUGGAGUUGCUAGUAAACGCAGGUCAGCUAUACUGCGUUGAAUACGUUCCCGGGUUU
rnacentral:rRNA from 1 species